rnacentral:tRNA from 1 species
UCCCCUGUAGCUCAGUUGGUAGAGCGCCUCGCUGUUAACGAGGAUGUCCGUGGUUCGAGUCCACGCGGGGGAGCCA